rnacentral:rRNA from 1 species
UUCAUAGAGUGUAAAGGCAUAAGGGAGCUUGACUGCGAGACCUACAAGUCGAGCAGGGUCGAAAGACGGACUUAGUGAUCCGGUGGUUCCGCAUGGAAGGGCCAUCGCUCAACGGAUAAAAGCUACCCCGGGGAUAACAGGCUUAUCUCCCCCAAGAGUUCACAUCGACGGGGAGGUUUGGCACCUCGAUGUCGGCUCAUCGCAUCCUGGGGCUGUAGUCGGUCCCAAGGGUUGGGCUGUUCGCCCAUUAAAGCGGUACGCGAGCUGGGUUCAGAACGUCGUGAGACAGUUCGGUCCCUAUCCGUCGUGGGCGUAGGAAAUUUGAGAGGAGCUGUCCUUAGUACGAGAGGACCGGGAUGGACAUACCUCUGGUGUACCAGUUGUCGUGCCAACGGCAUAGCUGGGUAGCUAUGUGUGGACGGGAUAAGUGCUGAAAGCAUCUAAGCAUGA